rnacentral:lncRNA from 1 species
CCGAACUUGCCAUGCUUUCCAUGCUUGCCGAACUUGCCAUGCUUUCCAUGCUUGAACUUACCGUGCCCGUGCUGCUUGAAUUUUCCAUGUGGCAUGUGAGCACCAUGUGCAUAUUGGCCAUAGGAGCCAUGGGAGCCAUGAGAGACAUGGUGAGCACCAUAAGCAGCAGCAGCCGCAGCAGCACCCCCAGCGAGCAUUGCUCCCAUACCGCCGUGCCCAUGAGAACCUGGUGGCAAAAACAGAGAACUUGGUUAAAAAAACUUCCAAGGACAACAAUUCUCAUAACUAGCAGCACAAAAUUUUCCAAUAGCCAAUGCAUAAAUCAAACUACUAAGAAAUAAGGAUAAACAAGAAGAGAACUUCAACAAGCACAAAAAAGUUUCAACUACAGUAAAAAAAGCCAAAUCAUACAUUACUUGAAAAAAGAAAAGUUACUUAAGAGAGUGUAUUGUGGAUAAUGCAAACAAGAAGACAACAAUGUCUCUAAGGGACACACACAAUUCUAAUUACCACUAUCAAAGUCAAUCUUUCUCAUCGCAUGAAUUUGUUUUUGUAGCCAAACAAUCCCUAUCUUUUGUAUGCAAUUGCAUUAUGGAUUUGUCUCCUUAGUUGGACUAAGCAUAUAUUAAAGUAAGAAAAAAAGAAUGUAUCUACCCUUGAUUAAAAAGUAAGUUAAAUUUAGGAGACACUUCAAAUCAACAGUAAAUAUAUAUCCCUUUUCACUACUGUUUGAUGGUGGAAUAUGUUUAUAUGUACUUUUAAAAGACACUCAUGCUUCAUCAAAGUUAAUUCACAAUGCUUCUAAGUAGGCAGCAUCACAGAUUUUACAACUACAAUGGAAUUCAGAAUUCAAUCAGUCAAGUGAUUGUGAUAUCUAACAUGAGUAACUUAAAAGAUGUAACAAAGAAAAAACAAUUGAAAGAAAAUAUAUAUACCUGGUGCAUGUGAUGAACCAGGAUAACCAGCUGGGGGGUAACCAGCAGGAGGAUAGCCUUGAUGUGGAGGGUACCCAGCUGGAGGAUACCCUUGUUGUGGAGGAUACCCAGCUGGAGGAUAUCCUUGUUGUGGAGGGUAUGCCCCAGGUGGUGGUGGGUAAGCCCCAGGUGGGUACCCAUGUCCACCAUGUGCUGCAC